GACGUAGGGCGCGAGCGUUGUCCGGAUUUAUUGGGCGUAAAGAGCUCGUAGGCGGCUUGUCGCGUCGAAUGUGAAAUCUCGGGGCUCAACUCCGAGCUUGCAUUCGAUACGGGCAGGCUAGAGUUCGGUAGGGGAGACUGGAAUUCCUGGUGUAGCGGUGAAAUGCGCAGAUAUCAGGAGGAACACCGGUGGCGAAGGCGGGUCUCUGGGAAGUAACUGACGCUGAGAAGCGAAAGCGUGGGUAGCGAACAGG
rnacentral:rRNA from 1 species